CAAGGGUUACAGAGCAAGGUAUUAAUCGGCUGUUAACCGAUCGGUCGUAAGUUCGAAUCUUACCCGCGGAACCA
rnacentral:tRNA from 1 species